rnacentral:rRNA from 1 species
CCUACGGGAGGCUGCAGUGGGGAAUAUUGGACAAUGGGGGGAACCCUGAUCCAGCCAUGCCGCGUGUGUGAAGAAGGCCCUCGGGUUGUAAAGCACUUUCAGUGAGGAAGAACGCCUGGUGGUUAAUACCCAUCAGGAAAGACAUCACUCACAGAAGAAGCACCGGCUAACUCCGUGCCAGCAGCCGCGGUAAUACGGAGGGUGCGAGCGUUAAUCGGAAUUACUGGGCGUAAAGCGCGCGUAGGUGGCUUGAUAAGCCGGUUGUGAAAGCCCCGGGCUCAACCUGGGAACGGCAUCCGGAACUGUCAAGCUAGAGUGCAGGAGAGGUAGGUAGAAUUCCCGGUGUAGCGGUGAAAUGCGUAGAGAUCGGGAGGAAUACCAGUGGCGAAGGCGGCCUUCUGGACUGACACUGACACUGAGGUGCGAAAGCGUGGGUAGCAAACAGGAUUAGAUACCCGAGUAGUC